rnacentral:lncRNA from 1 species
UCUGACCACAUAGCGUUCGCUUCCCGAGAACUUCUCCAUGCUCCGCCCUCAGCUAACCUCCUCUCCAACUUGUGUGCUUUCUCCUUAUUCUAAACACCCCAUCUAAUCCGCGGUUGUCCCCGAGCACCCCUCCUCUUCCUCUUCCUCUUCCUCUUCCUCUUCACCCAGAGACCGACAUCCAUCACUAGGAGUCUAUGAAGAGUCGAAAGGGACUCUCCCGGGAUAACCUUGCAGUCCNNN